UGUGUGUGUGAUUUUUUUUUUUUUCUACACUCUUCUAAAAAUGAUCUCUUCUCUAACAAAAAAAUUGAACUCUCCUCUAACAUAACAUGAAUAAAAUUAUCAUAAUAAAUGAAAUGUUUGCAUAUACUAAUUGACUUUAAGAAUUGAUGCAAAUGAUUGACAUGGAUAGGAUAUCAAUCCAGCAGUUGGUUUAUUAAUAACCUAGGCCUUGAUCAGUAUGGUUGCCCUUUUUUCUCUUGGUUUUAUUGAAAAUAAGAAAUGGUCUUCAAAAAACAGAUUUCUCGUUAUCAUUAUCUGUUUUCUUCUUAGAACUUUUUUAAUCAUUUUUAAGUAAAU
rnacentral:misc_RNA from 1 species